AUAGAGAGAGUUGCAACAUGACGAUUUGGUCACGUGAUGUUACGGGCGCCAUUUUGUGUCCAGUUGCGCACUGAACGGAUCCGGGAAAUCAAGAGAUAGUCGCUUUGUGUAGUCGUUGCUUGCAGAACGCCUUGCUGUUGCGCUUGGGGAUGCAGCAAUACAACUGAAAAAUGGUACAAGCCGUGUUGCUUUCCAAAAAACCUUGCAAGAAGGAAGAUCUCGGAGGCGAAAGUGAGGCGACGUUGUUGGACGUCAUCUCUGACGAGCUUAUUUCUCUACUAGGCUCAUUUUGACGAGUCUCUAUUCGAGAAUUGCACGCAGAGCCGACAGGAAGAGAAAGCUGAAAGGAAAUACAGUAUGUCAUUGCGACGAUAUUCCCUCAUCGCAAAGCUGACUUUCAGAGAAAGUCUCCUUUAAUUAGGACGAGGAUUAGAUCCGGAAUCAAGAGCUCCCCUCGUCUUGUUGGAUCAUUCCUACUGUUUUAUGGACGCCGGGAGCACAAGUUUCUUCAAAUGACGGAGAGGAGGUUGCAGUUGAUGAUACAGGAAAAGUAAUUGUGUGAUGAUGAGGUUCCUCACUUGACAUCCUGCCUCAGCUAGAAUGCAAAAUAAUGAAUUAAGGAAACUGACGAGAGAGCUAGUUUAAGCUAAACACGAGAAGAGAACAAUUUUGCAUCAGAAACUGAAAAUAGAGGAAAGAUUUGGCAUUUUUUGGAAAAGACCAGCUCACCGGUUUUUCAAGAGGCCUAUAGCAUGAGAGGCAUGCUUUGGACAUCCUCAACCAUUAAUUAAGAACUUUGAUGUGCUUGUGGAUCUGUUGAAUACAACCUACUUUUGAAACAGCAGCAUCCAUUGCCAUUUGUGCGUACUCUUCAACAAAGAAUGUCAAUCAUCUCUUAACUCUACCAUAGACCAUCUUCACUCAAAAUUGCAGCAUCUUUGUGAACAGGAGAAACGUUGCUGUUUGACAAUGGAUGAAAUGUCCGUUACCCAGUGGUUGAGUUUGAUACAAGUAGUGGUCAGAGACCAGGUCACACUGCCUGGUCAAGUUAAACAUGGGCAUGCCACGCACUUUUAGGUUGGGUGGGUUAGCAUCACGGUGGUAGCAGAUAGUUGCUUACUACUUUACUAACAAUUUUACUUUUGCCACUGUUCUCAUGCCUAUUGUAUUGGAAUUAUAUGGUGCAUGGACCAUAAUUGCAGGUAAUUGAUAUGAGAGGUAAUUAGAAAUUAGAAAUAUAGUAUAUUUUUAAUAUAUCAAAAAUAAAGAAACUACUUUUUA